rnacentral:rRNA from 1 species
UACAGAGACUGCAAGCGUUAUUCGGAUUCACUGGGCGUAAAGGGUGCGUAGGCGGCCGUGUGUGUGAGGCGUGAAAGCCCGGAGCUCAACUCCGGAAUUGCACCUCAAACUACACGGCUAGAGCAUUGGAGAGGGUAGCGGAAUUCACGGUGUAGCAGUGAAAUGCGUAGAUAUCGUGAGGAACACCAGAGGCGAAGGCGGCUACCUGGACAAUUGCUGACGCUCAGGCACGAAAGCGUGGGGAGCAAAAGGG